UUUGGGCAGCUCCACGAGAAUUUUCCCGGCAUGUCUGUCCAGCUUGAGCCUGCGGUUAUAUCAAAAGAUAUGGACCAAAAACUGAAUUCUGAAAUAAUGCAAAGUCAAAAUCCAGUUUUUAUGAACAUGAUGGAGUAAGUGCCGCGAGAAGAAGCUAAAAAUGAAGUUGCAAAGUGAGGUUCCUAACAGCAAUUUUCGAUGUCAGUUUCCAAAUCACAUCAAUCAAGUUUUUGAUCACAUUAUGGAGCCAUCAAUCAUCUUAGAACAAAUACGUAUUUCAAGAACUUCUAAUUACUACUUGCCAAAUACCUAAGGGAUAACGGAUUUGGCAAAGAUUCCCUGCUGCAAGCGUUACAUUUUUAUAGUCAUUAUACCUGGCCGGAGUAAUCGUAAAUCAAUCUAAUUCCACUCCCAAUCUUUAUAAACUUUUAUUAAAUGCAACGCAUUUCAACAUAAGGUGUAUGAAUGAGCAGAAAAUCGAAAAAUUAAAUCACCUGUUCUAUGUAGGACGGCAUGGUAAUUUUGGUACAGCAUCGGGAAAUAAGGACGUUGAAAAUAGACAAUGAAAUUGUGUCUCAAACCAAAAAUAGCGGCACUGUAAUUCAACCGGGCUAAUCGCUGAACGUAAGCCAUGUGUAAAAUUACAUUUAAAUUAUAAUGUUCGAUUAAAGAAAUUAAAUAUCCAUAAAGUUC